UUUUGGUUUGUUUUGAAAAAAAAAAAAUCAUGGUUUGAAAAUUUAUUACAAAUCGCACAAAAUUAAACCUUGUUCACCCCUACUAAAAUCAAUGAUAUGUUUUCCAUAUGGUGCAUGCACCUACAAAAUGGAUGAAAAAAACAUGUUAAACCCGAUACUUAUUGGUUUCGUCUUGAACGGGAUGAGGAUUCUCCACGUAAUUAGGUACUCAAGAUAGGGAAGUGAUGAUGGACGUCUCUUUGAGUCGAGGAUGGGAUUAGGCCAAGGAUGGGGAUGAGGAACAUGGUAACUGUCCCGCAACCUAUCCCAUUUAAAUUAAAAAAAAAAGAAAAGGAUUAACAAUAGAAUACCCCUAGAAACGUUUCCAUGUGCGAU
rnacentral:lncRNA from 1 species